GAUGAACGCUGGCGGCGUGCCUAAUACAUGCAAGUCGAGCGAACGGACGAGAAGCUUGCUUCUCUGAUGUUAGCGGCGGACGGGUGAGUAACACGUGGAUAACCUACCUAUAAGACUGGGAUAACUUCGGGAAACCGGAGCUAAUACCGGAUAAUAUUUUGAACCGCAUGGUUCAAAAGUGAAAGACGGUCUUGCUGUCACUUAUAGAUGGAUCCGCGCUGCAUUAGCUAGUUGGUAAGGUAACGGCUUACCAAGGCAACGAUGCAUAGCCGACCUGAGAGGGUGAUCGGCCACACUGGAACUGAGACACGGUCCAGACUCCUACGGGAGGCAGCAGUAGGGAAUCUUCCGCAAUGGGCGAAAGCCUGACGGAGCAACGCCGCGUGAGUGAUGAAGGUCUUCGGAUCGUAAAACUCUGUUAUUAGGGAAGAACAUAUGUGUAAGUAACUGUGCACAUCUUGACGGUACCUAAUCAGAAAGCCACGGCUAACUACGUGCCAGCAGCCGCGGUAAUACGUAGGUGGCAAGCGUUAUCCGGAAUUAUUGGGCGUAAAGCGCGCGUAGGCGGUUUUUUAAGUCUGAUGUGAAAGCCCACGGCUCAACCGUGGAGGGUCAUUGGAAACUGGAAAACUUGAGUGCAGAAGAGGAAAGUGGAAUUCCAUGUGUAGCGGUGAAAUGCGCAGAGAUAUGGAGGAACACCAGUGGCGAAGGCGACUUUCUGGUCUGUAACUGACGCUGAUGUGCGAAAGCGUGGGGAUCAAACAGGAUUAGAUACCCUGGUAGUCCACGCCGUAAACGAUGAGUGCUAAGUGUUAGGGGGUUUCCGCCCCUUAGUGCUGCAGCUAACGCAUUAAGCACUCCGCCUGGGGAGUACGACCGCAAGGUUGAAACUCAAAGGAAUUGACGGGGACCCGCACAAGCGGUGGAGCAUGUGGUUUAAUUCGAAGCAACGCGAAGAACCUUACCAAAUCUUGACAUCCUUUGACAACUCUAGAGAUAGAGCCUUCCCCUUCGGGGGGGCAAAGUGACAGGUGGUGCAUGGUUGUCGUCAGCUCGUGUCGUGAGAUGUUGGGUUAAGUCCCGCAACGAGCGCAACCCUUAAGCUUAGUUGCCAUCAUUAAGUUGGGCACUCUAAGUUGACUGCCGGUGACAAACCGGAGGAAGGUGGGGAUGACGUCAAAUCAUCAUGCCCCUUAUGAUUUGGGCUACGCACGUGCUACAAUGGACAAUACAAAGGGCAGCGAAACCGCGAGGUCAAGCAAAUCCCAUAAAGUUGUUCUCAGUUCGGAUUGUAGUCUGCAACUCGACUACAUGAAGCUGGAAUCGCUAGUAAUCGUAGAUCAGCAUGCUACGGUGAAUACGUUCCCGGGUCU
rnacentral:rRNA from 1 species